rnacentral:misc_RNA from 1 species
CCGUGAUAAUAUCCCAUCUAUUAUCCCCUAUCUUCUGUAUCGUCCGGUAAUUGUCACUAUGGGUUUAGGUUAAAAUCUGGUUUUCAUAUAAAAAAUAUUUACGCUCUGGCUGAUUUGUGAGAGGGAGACAACGGGAUUAAAAAAUGGAUUAUAGAGACGAGCAGGUUAAUGAAAUUGAGGCGCUCGAUUCCAUAUACUGUGGGGAUAUGGAAAUUAUAGCAAAGCAGCCCUUCUACAAAUUUUCAAUCCCAAUUAAAUCUGAAGAACAUGAACUAGAGACAAGCAAUGGUUUAGCUUGUCGACUAGAAUUUACUUACACAGCUAAAUAUCCUGAUGAGCCACUAGUCGUAGAUAUUGAGGAUCAAGAAAACUUUGAGGAUGGUGACGAACAGAUACUCAAAGAACACUUAGCGGAUCAAAUGAAUGAAAAUUUAGGCAUGGUUAUGGUUUUCACCCUCGUUAGUGCUGCGCAAGAAUGGCUCAAUGUUCAGUGGGACAAAAUAAAAAUGCAUAGGGAAGAAAGUGCUGCCUUGAAACUGAAAGAGGAAGAAGAGGCAGAAAGAAAAAGAUUUGAGGGAACAAGAGUUACUGUCGAGACGUUUCUAACCUGGAAAGAGAAGUUCGAUGAUGAAAUGGGAAUUACAAAACGACGUGAAAUUGCGGAGCGUGAAGGGAAAAAGUUGACUGGAAGAGAGCUCUUUAUGACAGAUAAAACAUUAGAUCAAUCUGAUUUGAAGUUCUUGGAAGACGGAGAUGCAGUCAAGGUGGAUGAAAGUCUGUUUCAAAACUUGGAAGAUCUUGAUUUGGACGAUGAUCCGGAUGAUCUGGAUUUUGACCCAAAUAAUUUGUCUGAUGACAGUGCCUAACAAUGUUGAUGGUAGCGAGUGAGCUAUUCUGACUGACUGACAGAGGCUCCUGGAGUCAUCAGCAACGAGGAAUUUAAACUCGUAAUGAACGAAUGCAAGAAGCAUGGACCACCAAAUGCAUUCAUAUGCCUAAUACCGUUGAAGUGUUUUGUAACAAUUUGUAUCGGAAUCCAACUUGUGGGUGUGCAGGGUAAUUGACCCAUAACAGUAAGAAAAUUUGAUGAGUAUCAAACCACAAACAACUCCGUGUCAUCUAUUGAACUUUUAUUUUGUAACAUUGGAUCGGUAGGGAGCAAAUAUAAGUAAUAAAAAAAUAUUUAUAUAAAUAAAUACGAUAAUGUCCA